AUAGGCUGUCAUUCUAAAUAAGAAUGUGUUCUUAACUGACUUGCCUAAUUAAAUAAAGGUUGAAAAAAAUCUAAAUGUCAUGUUUUUUCUUUGUCAUGUCUCUGGAAGAACAAUCCGCAUAACGCCUGUGUACUGGAUCUGAUGGUUAGUCAGCUGAGAUGGCAGAUUUUGAAGAUUCAGCUGCAAAUCUGCAUUGGACUGAAAGAGUGGAAUAAGCCGUCGGACACCCCAGACAAGAAAGAACGGGGCAUCAAAAAGUGAAGGCGGUCUUGCCAGAGACAGGAUGUGGUCAGUCGGUCAAAAGAAAUCUGCUGAGGUGAUGCAGCAACUUGCGAAGGCAACUGAAGACAUGAUGUCUGAUGUGGAGACAGACCCAGAGGAUACUGAUGCAUUUUUCAUAACCUCCCCACCAUGCCUCUCCCCUGAGUUUGAGGACCUGAUUGUGUCAGCAGACCGGAUAAAAGGCCAAGCGUGCUUAUGGGGAGAAAAGGCUCCUUCAGAACAAAAACCAGAGCAACCAUCCACGUCCACCGCAGCCCUAUCCAGAACAUCUGAUUGUGCAAUAGACCACAGACAAUCACCUGCAAAGGUCCUCUGCACCCACAUUACUAAGAAAUUGGCAUAGUUCAAGCAUACCAUCACAGUUGUGAAGAGGGCACGACAGCACCUCUUUUCCGUCAGGAGGCUGAAAAGAUUUGCCAUGGGCCCUCAGAUCCUCAAAGUUCGACAGCUGCA